rnacentral:rRNA from 1 species
CUAGAGAUAGAAAGUUACUUCGGUUACAUCGGUGACAGGUGGUGCAUGGUUGUCGUCAGCUCGUGUCGUGAGAUGUUGGGUUAAGUCCCGCAACGAGCGCAACCCCUAUUGUUAGUUGCCAUCAUUCAGUUGGGCACUCUAGCGAGACUGCCGGUAAUAAACCGGAGGAAGGUGGGGAUGACGUCAAAUCAUCAUGCCCCUUAUGACCUGGGCUACACACGUGCUACAAUGGUUGGUACAACGAGUUGCGAGUCGGUGACGGCGAGCUAAUCUCUUAAAGCCAAUCCCAGUUCGGAUUGUAGGCUGCAACUCGCCUACAUGAAGUCGGAAUCGCUAGUAAUCGCGGAUCAGCACGCCGCGGUGAAUACGUUCCCGGGCCUU